rnacentral:snoRNA from 1 species
AAGAGUACACUUCCAGGGACCAUUUCUAUAGCUGUUUACUAGAGGAGUUUCUGGGUGGAGUACCGGGAAGCACGAGGAGGAGGCGGCGGCGGCGCAGCGUUCUCUCCUGAGCUUGAAGCUGGCCCUGGGCGUAGUUUCAUGCAACCGCCCAUUGCCAAUGAUAAUGGAGGGAGAGAAUACAGUCUGAGUGGC